UACGAAGGGGGCUAGCGUUGCUCGGAAUCACUGGGCGUAAAGCGCACGUAGGCGGAUUGUUAAGUCAGGGGUGAAAUCCUGGAGCUCAACUCCAGAACUGCCUUUGAUACUGGCGAUCUCGAGUCCGGGAGAGGUGAGUGGAACUGCGAGUGUAGAGGUGAAAUUCGUAGAUAUUCGCAAGAACACCAGUGGCGAAGGCGACUCGCUGGACAAGUAUUGACGCUGAGGUGCGAAAGCGUGGGGAGCAAACAGG
rnacentral:rRNA from 1 species